GUGGGGAAUAUUGGACAAUGGGCGCAAGCCUGAUCCAGCCAUGCCGCGUGAGUGAUGAAGGCCUUAGGGUUGAAAAGCUCUUUCACCGGUGAAGAUAAUGACGGUAACCGGAGAAGAAGCCCCGGCUAACUUCGUGCCAGCAGCCGCGGUAAUACGAAGGGGGCUAGCGUUGUUCGGAAUUACUGGGCGUAAAGCGCACGUAGGCGGAUAUUUAAGUCAGGGGUGAAAUCCCAGAGCUCAACUCUGGAACUGCCUUUGAUACUGGGUAUCUCGAGUAUGGAAGAGGUAAGUGGAAUUCCGAGUGUAGAGGUGAAAUUCGUAGAUAUUCGGAGGAACACCAGUGGCGAAGGCGGCUUACUGGUCCAUUACUGACGCUGAGGUGCGAAAGCGUGGGGAGCAAACAGGAUUAGAUACCCGUGUAGUCC
rnacentral:rRNA from 1 species